ensembl:lncRNA
CCAAUUUUCAUUUUCAGGCAUGGCUUGUAAUAAAAUAAAAAGGAACAUGAACAUGUCACAUUAAGAGAGAGCCUCACAUGGACAAGCAGAGAACCACGCCUAAGACAGCCCACCAACAACUAAUUGAUUUCUCUUUUGCUCCUUCUCCAGCUUGAAGGGACAAAUACCUCGUUAAAUGUAACAGCAAAGCUACAUAAAAAAAAUUAAGCAAAAGAAGAAUGAACUCAGUUAACUCUUGCACGGUUUUGUGUGCUCACUACAAGCACUCUGCUGCGCCUCACAGUGUGAACGCAAAAUAGAGUCAAUUUUGCAUCUUAUGGAGCUUAAACGGACACAUGCACAGAAAAUAAUGUCAAAAUACUUGUGUUGACCAGUAUUCCUGUAAAGAGUUGUUAUGUAUCACAUGAACAGAGAGCCUUGAGAGCCUCAAUUGGACAAAAAAGAGCAGCCUCUCAGUAAGUGCACAUACACCUGAAUGAGUUCUCUUUUGCACAUGCAGCUGCCUGCUACCCCACAGCUAUUUACAGAAACUACUAAAUAAACACAGGGUUUAUCAGCCUUGCUGGUUGUAUUUGUCUAGUCUCAAAAUUAGUAUAAAUUCUCUGUCAAGUCAUCUUUAUUUAUAUAAUGCAUUAAACAAAAAAGAUUGUGUCAAAGCAACUAAACAACAUUAAUUAGGAAAACAGUGUGUCAAUAAUGCAAAAUGACAGUUAAAGGCAGUUCAUCAUUGAAUUCAGUGAUGUCAUUAUCUCACUUCAGUUUAAAUAGUAUUUGUGCAAUCAUUUGCAAUCAAGUCAAUGAUAUCGCUGUAAAUGAAGCGUCCCCAACUAAGCAAGCCAGAGGCGACAGCGGCAAGAAACCAAAACUCCAUCGGUGACAGAAUGGAGAAAAAACCUUGGGAGAAACCAGGCUCAGUCGGGGGGCCAGUUCUCCUAUGACCAGACGAAACCAGCAUUUCAAUUCCAGGCAGCUCCCCCCACCAAACCUGUCCUCUACAGUCAAAUGUUUUUGCACACACAGUCUGUAGGGCCAGAUGUGACAUCAGCAUAAAUUUGGUUGCACUGUGACCUUUUUAACCUGUAUUAGUGGGGGGAGUAU